AUGAUUAAAAACGCUCAACGCAACAAGCUACUGGUUGGACUGGCGGCGGACCAUGUUCCUGAUGGAGUUGUUGUACUGCAAUACGCGGAUGAUACAAUCAUCUGCCUGGAACAUGAUGUUGAAAAAGCAGUUAACCUGAAGUUGCUGCUAUAUAUGUUCGAAAUGAUGUUUGGGUUAAAAGUUAAUUUUCAAAAAAGUGAGAUACUCACUAUGGGUGGGGAUGAUACGAUGAUAAAAGUAUAUGCUGAGCUUUUCAAUUGUGAUAUUGGUAGCUUCCCUAUUAAAUGUCUUGGUAUGCCUGUUAGCUAUACCAAUCUCAGAAAUUCUGAUUGGGAAUUCAUAGUCUGCAAAUAUCUCAAAAGAUUUGAAGCCUGGAUUGGGAAUGCCGCCUCUAUGGGAGGAAGGCAUACUCUACUAGAUUAUGUAGUGACUCAGAUCUCUCUCUACCACAUGUCCAUGUGGUUGAUGAACAAAACUUUUAUUGAAAAGCUGGAUAAACACCGGAGGAGGUUUUUCUAG
rnacentral:rRNA from 1 species